GUGGGGAAUUUUGGACAAUGGGGGCAACCCUGAUCCAGCCAUUCCGCGUGAGUGAAGAAGGCCUUCGGGUUGUAAAGCUCUUUCAGCAGGAACGAAACGGUACGCGCUAACAUCGUGUGCUAAUGACGGUACCUGCAGAAGAAGCACCGGCUAACUACGUGCCAGCAGCCGCGGUAAUACGUAGGGUGCGAGCGUUAAUCGGAAUUACUGGGCGUAAAGCGUGCGCAGGCGGAUUGUUAAGCAAGACGUGAAAUCCCCGGGCUUAACCUGGGAAUGGCGUUUUGAACUGGCAGUCUAGAGUGUGUCAGAGGGGGGUGGAAUUCCACGUGUAGCAGUGAAAUGCGUAGAGAUGUGGAGGAACACCAAUGGCGAAGGCAGCCCCCUGGGAUAACACUGACGCUCAUGUACGAAAGCGUGGGUAGCAAACAGGAUUAGAAACCCUAGUAGUCC
rnacentral:rRNA from 1 species